rnacentral:rRNA from 1 species
UGCAGCAACGCCGCGUGAGGGAUGACGGCCUUCGGGUUGUAAACCUCUUUUUAGUAGGGAAGAAGCGAAAGUGACGGUACCUGCAGAAAAAGCACCGGCUAACUACGUGCCAGCAGCCGCGGUAAUACGUAGGGUGCAAGCGUUGUCCGGAAUUAUUGGGCGUAAAGAGCUCGUAGGCGGUUUGUCGCGUCUGCUGUGAAAUCCCGAGGCUCAACCUCGGGCUUGCAGUGGGUACGGGCAGACUAGAGUGCGGUAGGGGAGAUUGGAAUUCCUGGUGUAGCGGUGGAAUGCGCAGAUAUCAGGAGGAACACCGAUGGCGAAGGCAGAUCUCUGGGCCGUAACUGACGCUGAGGAGCGAAAGCAUGGGGAGCGAACAGGAUUAGAUACCCUGGUAGUCCAUGCCGUAAACGUUGGGCGCUAGAUGUAGGGACCUUUCCACGGUUUCUGUGUCGUAGCUAACGCAUUAAGCGCCCCGCCUGGGGAGUACGGCCGCAAGGCUAAAACUCAAAGGAAUUGACGGGGGCCCGCACAAGCGGCGGAGCAUGCGGAUUAAUUCGAUGCAACGCGAAGAACCUUACCAAGGCUUGACAUACACCGGAAACGGCCAGAGAUGGUCGCCCCCUUGUG